UGCUAUCAGAGCUUGGUUCUGGGGUUCUUGCUUUGUGCCAGACCACCACUAAUACAGGACAAAACCAACACAAACCUGUCACCCCUUAACACACAGAGGAAUGAGGCAGCUGCUGGAGACAAGGGAAGAGGAAGAAUGCUGUACAAGCACAAAAAAAUACCUCUGUACUAGCAGACAUCACCACUGACAUCAGACAAAUACUCUGACCCUUAAAUUCGAUGCAAAGGCACCCACAAACUUCAGUGCUGCACUGCAAUCCUUAGUAUAUUAGCCCUUCAAAACAACUCAUUAUGUGACUGGACGCAGCUGCAGAGCACAGCAAGAGCAAAAGGGUCAGUGUCUGAGCCGUGUCUCUGCAAACCCCAUAAAAAGGCCAGCAGAGGCUUGUCCCUCAGUGACUGGGAAGGCUGCCCAGCAUCAUGUCAGGGGAGCACCCUCGAGGUUUGCAGCUCUCUGGCAGACCUCUGUGGGUCUUGUCUUGCUUCAUUAACUCCUCGGGGCUGCUGCACUGCAGAGAUAGGCAGAGCAUCAAUGACUUUGUUGGGUUUUGUUUUUUUAAUUCAUUUAAACAGCAGAGCUGGGUGGGACCGGGGAGGCAGCAGCCAAUUAAGGAACCAUCAAACUUCUCUUAAAAGCCUCCCUCAACAAUGCUCCCUGCUCCUGCCUCCAGCCAACAUGGAAUGCCUGAGGAUACAUCUUGUCCCCAGAGCCUAAUUCCUGUAGGAGUCAUAGACCAAUACAGACUUAUAUUGAGACCUUAAGUUUUCUUCAUGAGCUAGAAGACCCAAACAACGACCGUUGUCCAGAAACAUUCACCACCCUGGGGAAAGCUUCCUUUCAUGGCAAAUCUGUCUGAAAGACACCACAAGCAUCUGGUCACUAGUGAAAUACUGUCAUGUAAGUGGUGAUACCUCUUUAUACAAGUCACUUCUAUGUAUCUUAGAGAAAAUAAGUUUGUUUCAACUCUGUCUGCCUAUUGUUUUACCAUAAACAGAUACCUACAAAGGUAAUCAGCAUGCCCCAGGGCCAAGGGCAUCAUUUCUCUCGACCAUUGUCAGUAAUGGCCAAUAACACCAGCCGACAUAGUAAAGGGAAGUGACAGCAGGGAAAUAAUUUAGCCUUUAACUGACAUGUUAUCCAGUUAAAAGCCAUUUACCUUCUGCUGCUUGGUGUGUCAUUGCUCAUUUUAGUUUUGAAGUGACAUCUCCCCAAGUGCCAUUAACAUGCCAGCAGUGAAAGGAAU
rnacentral:lncRNA from 1 species